rnacentral:SRP_RNA from 1 species
GCCAGGCAUGGUGGUGCGUGCCUGUAGUCCCAGCUACUCGGGAGGCUGAGGCAGGAGAAUCACUUGAACCCAGGAGGAGGAGGUUGCAGUGAGCAGAGAUCGCACCACUGCACUCCAGCCUGGGUAAUAGAGUGAGACUCUGUCUCGA